UCCCCGGUAGCUCAGUGGUAGAGCGCUCGACUGUUAAUCGAUCGGUCGCUGGUUCGAAUCCGGCCCGGGGAGCCA
rnacentral:tRNA from 1 species